rnacentral:rRNA from 1 species
CUCUACUAGCUAUAUCACUCCGAAUGCUCCCAAUCUGAUCUGAUCUUGGAAACAAGCAGAGUCAGGCUUAGUUCAAUAUUUGGAUGUGAGACAACUGAGAAUACUGGGUGCUGUAGACU